GAUGAACGCUGGCGGCGUGCCUAAUACAUGCAAGUCGAGCGAACAGACGAGGAGCUUGCUCCUUUGACGUUAGCGGCGGACGGGUGAGUAACACGUGGAUAACCUACCUAUAAGACUGGGAUAACUUCGGGAAACCGGAGCUAAUACCGGAUAACAUGUUGAACCGCAUGGUUCAACAGUGAAAGACGGUCUUGCUGUCACUUAUAGAUGGAUCCGCGCCGUAUUAGCUAGUUGGUAAGGUAACGGCUUACCAAGGCAACGAUGCGUAGCCGACCUGAGAGGGUGAUCGGCCACACUGGAACUGAGACACGGUCCAGACUCCUACGGGAGGCAGCAGUAGGGAAUCUUCCGCAAUGGGCGAAAGCCUGACGGAGCAACGCCGCGUGAGUGAAGAAGGUCUUCGGAUCGUAAAACUCUGUUAUUAGGGAAGAACAAAUGUGUAAGUAACUAUGCACGUCUUGACGGUACCUAAUCAGAAAGCCACGGCUAACUACGUG
rnacentral:rRNA from 1 species